UCUAUUUUAAAUGUCACUGGUUACUGGCUUGUAAUUCUGAGCUCCUGUUCAUUCUCUGUCCAUUUCUGUGCCUUUGGUGGAGCGUAGGAGGAUUUCUGGCUUCAAGGAGCACUUUUGCAGAGGAAGAUUGAGCUUCCCGGACAACUGAUCCACAUUCACUUAAAGGACAAAAUGUUUGCCAAAACCGCACUUGAAAAAUGUGGAAAACACCUUACCUUCUCGUUAUUCACCAAAACAUCCAUUGCCAGAUUUGAAGAAAUUAAUUAAAUACGACACCCUUCAGUGCAAAAUAUGCAAAUCCACAAAGUGCUCAUGUGCCCAGAAGCAUCGUCAGGGGCUGCUAUAUAGAGCACCAACAUUGAGCUUCUUGGCCAAAGUGCAUCGUCCGGAAAGAAAGAAGGACGAAGUUCAGAGUGAAAAUCUUCAGCCAUCGCGUCCGGAAUCAGUUAAUUCGAGAAGCAAGAUGUGGAUUCGCCCGAAAGUCACGCGACCAAAAACAAAAAGUGAUCCCGUAACCAUGCAUUCGAAGUAUCAGCAAGAGUGGGACAGCUUCAAAGACAAUAUUCCUGGACAAAAUAAGCACCUGGACCUGCGAUGGUCAAUCCGGGAGAAGUUGACCAAGGAGAAAGACCCGCGGAGUUAAAACGAUUACAUUUGUCUCUGGAAAGCUACUUUAUUAAAUUCUGUUGCCCUUUUAAAA